rnacentral:tRNA from 1 species
GCCUGGGUGGCUCAGUUGGUCAAGCGUCUGACUUGAGGUCAGGUCAUGAUUUCGUUGUUUGUGGGUUCAAGCCCUUCAUCGGGCU